rnacentral:lncRNA from 1 species
GUAAGUGGUGGACAAAACUUUUGUGUGUUUGUGGAUUUAUUUAUGUUGAUCUUGAGAGAAUUGUGGUUAGCCAUUUGUGUUGUUCUGUAACAUCAUCUUGACUUUUUCUUUCCUUUUACUUUUUCAGAAAAAAAAAAUCAAAGUUCUUGGUCUCCCACCCUCUUCCCCAAAUAGAAAUAUAAUGUAGAAAAAUCAAAUUAUUUUUAAGAGUACCGAAAUGAAUAGGGAUCCGUUAUCCAAUCUAAAUUUUCUUCCUUUUGGAAUUUCAAUUUUUUGGGCAUGGCGAACUGUGGUCCAAAUUUUGAUAUCCAA